CGCCGCCGCCGGAGCGGGUCCGGGUCCGUGUCCGUGUCCGUGCCCGGAGCGGGGCCGGUUCCCCAGCCCGUGCCCGGUUCCCCAGCCCGUGCCCCUGCUCGGCUGCCCUCGCACUCGCCAUGGCUCUGUCCUGCCUGCUGAGGCCACCGCGCUUUCACCUCCGCCCUCCGCCGCUCGCCAUGCUCAGCCUGCCCGCUCCGCACCGCAGCCUGGUGACAACCACAGCAGCGACGUGGGGAGGGAAGAAAAAGGCCAGGGUGAGCUGCAGCCUGUCGGAGCCUUCCUGGGAGGAGAGGUUAGCAAAUGCAGUGACACCACUGUGGAGACUUCCCUACCAAGAGCAGCUGCAGGUAAAGUAUGAAAACCAGAGGAAGAUUUUGCAGACACUGGCAUCUCGUCUUGAGGAGCUGGGCAUAGAUGCACAGAAACCUGGUGGGCUCUGCUGUCCUCUGCAGCCUGUAGUCCCUUCGCCCAUCAUUAAUGGCUACCGAAACAAAUCCACUUUCUCUGUGAACCGAGGACCAGAUGGGAACCCCAAAACUGUGGGGUUGUAUGUAGGAACUGGCAGAGAAAGAAAUAUUGUCUGUGUGAAAGCCAACCAUGUGGAGAACAUACCCUCAAAACACAAACAAGUAGCCCAGUGCUAUGAGGAGUUCAUCUGUCACUCCCCCCUGGACUCCUGCAUCCUCUUCCAUGAAGGUGGACACUGGCGAGAGCUCGUGGUUCGUACCACCAGCUGUGGCCACACCAUGGCUAUCAUCACCUUCCACCCCCAGCAAUUGGGCCAGGAGGCACUGGCUACUCAGAAAGCAUUGCUGAAGGAUUUCUUCACAUGUGGGCCUGGAGCAGUCUGUGACUUGACUUCACUUUAUUUCCAAGAGAGCACCAUGACACGCUGCUCCCACCAGCAGUCCCCCUACCAGCUCCUCCACGGAGCACCGCACAUCUUCGAAGAACUGCUCGGCCUGAAGUUCCGCAUCUCUCCAGAUGCCUUUUUCCAAGUCAACACGGCUGGAGCAGAAGUUCUGUACCAGGAAGUUGGGGAGCUCUGCCAGGCUACUGGGGAUACUGUCCUCCUUGACAUCUGCUGUGGAACAGGCACAAUUGGUCUCUCUCUGGCUCACCGAGUGUCCAAGGUUAUUGGUGUCGAGGUGGUAGAGAAGGCAAUAGAGGAUGCUGAGUGGAAUGCAGCAUUCAAUGGGAUCUCAAACUGUGAGUUUCACAGUGGAAAGGCAGAGGCUGUGUUACCACAGCUCCUGGCAUCGUGGGAGGAUGCCCGAUCGCUUGUUGCUGUGGUGAACCCUUCUCGGGCUGGCCUACGUGAGAGAAAAUGCUGUUUAUUUUCAUCCUAUAAACAGAGUUUUGAACAAGUCCUGUGACACCUGUUACACUGGCUCUAAACCCUUUCCCUGCUUGGUUUCUCAUUUCUUGUUGCUGACAGAAGCUAAAAGCCCAUAAAGUCUGCUGUUUUCAGUGCCUUCAUUAUGCUUUCUCUUUAGCUCUAAUCUUUUUUCCAUCUAUCACAGGUUUACACAAUUAUUUAAGAGAGAGGGGACCUCUGGAAGUCUGUGGUGCAAUUUCUCAACUAUAGCAAGGCCAACUUUAGAGUUGUAUGAGGUUGCAUAGGGAUAUAAAACCUAGCUGAGGUUUGAAUGUGUCCAAGGGUAUAUCUCCUCUCCUGAAAAUAUUUUUCCCCUAAUGUAUUUAAUCAGAAUUUUCCCUUGAUGCCAUACAUCUAUUGCUUCUCAUCCUCUUCUCACACCCCUCUGAGAAGAUUCUCAGUUAUCUGUAAUCCCCCAUGAGGUCCCUGAAGAUAGCAAAUGGAUCCUUGCUUACCUUCUGUUCCCCAGGAUGAAUAAUCCAGCCCUCAAACUGUCUCAGUGGUCUCCCCUGGAGUGUGUACUGGGAAGUCACACACUGAUCCUGAUGCCCAGAUACACUCUCACAAGUGUGUGUGGAAGGUUUGAUAUGCCUUUGCAUAAUUGAGUAACAUUUUUAUUCCCAUCCUCCAUCCGCCUGGGAAGCAGAGGGACUUCUCCCAUUGCUCUGCCCUGCCUGCCAAAUUGGCUAAGCUGUCAGCAGUGUGGGUCGCACCCGUGACCUCCUGAGAGACUCCAUCUGAAAUAGAAUGUGUCAAAAUAUGCAUUUGUAUUUUUGACAGUUCUGUGGUGCUGUGUAGUCAUUCCUUCUGGAGAGCUCAGGAUGGUGGUGGGAAAGCAGGGUGUCUGUUUUUGCAGAUUACAGGGUUGUUCGAGCCAUCAGGAACUGCAGGUCCAUCCGCAGGCUGCUCUACAUCUCCUGCAAGCCAGAGGGUGAAGCCAUGAGGAACUUCCUUGAGCUAUGCUGCCCACCUGACCCAAGGAAGAAGUUGACA